AGGUCUGUAGGGAUUAUGUGGCCACGUUCCUGAGCUUCCACCCGCUUUUGAAGUAGGCUAUGACUUGGAAAUGAGUUUAUCCUUGUUGACAGCUUGUUCUAGCUCUUGAUAUGAAGCUAUGGAAAGUCUCUUCACAUCCAGAAAUGAAAGGCCUGCUGUUGGUCACCCCACAUCUGAAAGAUGCUAUGGUCCCACCACUUUGCAAGUCUAGUAGGAAUUAUAAACGUCCAUAUUACUGGUGAGGUACUGAGUCCAAAAACAACCAUUAGCAAGCUUUGGCAUGGAUGAUAUGUGCCAAAUGGCUAUAGCAGGUGUAACACUGAAGAUACAGAAGGAACAGACCUGAGGAAGAAGAAAGUACCAUUUUCAAACAGUUUCCAUAGAAGAGCUGUAGUUCUAUAUGUACCUGGCAUAUACAGGAAAGCAGAAAUGUCAUACAUUUGAUUAGCAUACAGAAAGCACAUGAGCUGGAUGUACACUGACAUUGGCUUGACUUUCUAAUUUCAAUCUGCUGCUAACUGAAG